rnacentral:rRNA from 1 species
AUGAACGCUGGCGGCGUGCCUAAUACAUGCAAGUCGAACGAGUUCUCGUUGAUGAUCGGUGCUUGCACCGAGAUUCAACAUGGAACGAGUGGCGGACGGGUGAGUAACACGUGGGUAACCUGCCCUUAAGUGGGGGAUAACAUUUGGAAACAGAUGCUAAUACCGCAUAGAUCCAAGAACCGCAUGGUUCUUGGCUGAAAGAUGGCGUAAGCUAUCGCUUUUGGAUGGACCCGCGGCGUAUUAGCUAGUUGGUGAGGUAAUGGCUCACCAAGGCGAUGAUACGUAGCCGAACUGAGAGGUUGAUCGGCCACAUUGGGACUGAGACACGGCCCAAACUCCUACGGGAGGCAGCAGUAGGGAAUCUUCCACAAUGGACGCAAGUCUGAUGGAGCAACGCCGCGUGAGUGAAGAAGGCUUUCGAGUCGUAAAACUCUGUUGUUGGAGAAGAAUGGUCGGCAGAGUAACUGUUGUCGGCGUGACGGUAUCCAACCAGAAAGCCACGGCUAACUACGUGCCAGCAGCCGCGGUAAUACGUAGGUGGCAAGCGUUAUCCGGAUUUAUUGGGCGUAAAGCGAGCGCAGGCGGUUUUUUAAGUCUGAUGUGAAAGCCCUCGGCUUAACCGAGGAAGCGCAUCGGAAACUGGGAAACUUGAGUGCAGAAGAGGACAGUGGAACUCCAUGUGUAGCGGUGAAAUGCGUAGAUAUAUGGAAGAACACCAGUGGCGAAGGCGGCUGUCUGGUCUGUAACUGACGCUGAGGCUCGAAAGCAUGGGUAGCGAACAGGAUUAGAUACCCUGGUAGUCCAUGCCGUAAACGAUGAAUGCUAGGUGUUGGAGGGUUUCCGCCCUUCAGUGCCGCAGCUAACGCAUUAAGCAUUCCGCCUGGGGAGUACGACCGCAAGGUUGAAACUCAAAGGAAUUGACGGGGGCCCGCACAAGCGGUGGAGCAUGUGGUUUAAUUCGAAGCAACGCGAAGAACCUUACCAGGUCUUGACAUCUUUUGAUCACCUGAGAGAUCAGGUUUCCCCUUCGGGGGCAAAAUGACAGGUGGUGCAUGGUUGUCGUCAGCUCGUGUCGUGAGAUGUUGGGUUAAGUCCCGCAACGAGCGCAACCCUUAUGACUAGUUGCCAGCAUUUAGUUGGGCACUCUAGUAAGACUGCCGGUGACAAACCGGAGGAAGGUGGGGAUGACGUCAAAUCAUCAUGCCCCUUAUGACCUGGGCUACACACGUGCUACAAUGGAUGGUACAACGAGUUGCGAGACCGCGAGGUCAAGCUAAUCUCUUAAAGCCAUUCUCAGUUCGGACUGUAGGCUGCAACUCGCCUACACGAAGUCGGAAUCGCUAGUAAUCGCGGAUCAGCACGCCGCGGUGAAUACGUUCCCGGGCCUUGUACACACCGCCCGUCACACCAUGAGAGUUUGUAACACCCGAAGCCGGUGGCGUAACCCUUUUAGGGAGCGAGCCGUCUAAGGUGGGACAAAUGAUUAGGGUG